rnacentral:rRNA from 1 species
UACGUAGGGUGCAAGCGUUAUCCGGAUUCACUGGGUUUAAAGGGUGCGUAGGUGGGCAGGAAAGUCAGUGGUGAAAUCUCCGGGCUUAACCCGGAAACUGCCGUUGAUACUAUUUGUCUUGAAUAUUGUGGAGGUAAGCGGAAUAUGUCAUGUAGCGGUGAAAUGCUUAGAUAUGACAUAGAACACCAAUUGCGAAGGCAGCUUACUACACAAUGAUUGACGCUGAGGCACGAAAGCGUGGGGAUCAAACAGG